GGCCCGUGCAGUGCUCUAGUUACAUGCAGAUAUACAGAUAUACACCUAUUAUUAUACACCUAUGCAGAUAUACACCUAUUCGUUCAUUUCGAAUAGUUCGAAAUUUUCAAUAAUUUAAAUUCGAAUCAAAGCGAAUUCGAAUACUGUAUUACUCAUUCGAAUAUUCAAAGUGCUCGAAUAUUCGCACAAGCCUAGUUAUAAUGAAGUAAAGGAGUUGUAUUGCCAUCCGUACAGUGUCAUGAAUAUACGUUUAUUACAAAUUUUCGGGUAUAACGAAUAUAUUUUCGUGUCAGAUAUGGCUUCGUUAUAAUGAGGUUUUACUGUACCAUGCGUCAUGACUGAAUGCCAUAAAAUGCCUGAAUGAAACGAGCUUGACAGGUAAGAACUGUUUGGAAGCAAGCACAGCGGUACUGCAAUCAGUUUUGUGAGGUCAUAGUUUUCGUGCAUGUGUGGUUGAGUCCCCCUUCCAACAGUGCACAUAACAGAAUAAUUGCAGACAUGUUCAUAAGAGAGGGAACAAGCUUUUAGCUUGAAACAUAUAGUUGCAAGCUCACUGUUUGUCCGUUCUUCUUCUUGGUCAUGUGUGCUUGCUCUUUUUCUGUUCGCCUCAGUGUUCAUUAGAAAUCGAAGUGCCUUCACAGGUCUCAGCAUGUCCUAGUGCAUGUCACUACAUCCCUGACAUUAUCAGCUCAUGUGCUAGUUCUCCUAAGCACCAAUUGAAUCAGAUUACCCACUUUAGCCAAUCAGACCACACUACUUGGGGACUGCCUCUGUAGCGAAUGGAAUCGGAAUGUGGUCUCAGUACAGUUGGCCACAUCUGACCGCUGAUGGCACCCAGACUUCUAGAGGCAAUCAACCAGUGGAUUGUUGCUGUAAUAUACAUUUAAAAAAAGCAUUCCAUUGUACUGAAUGUGGUAAUGUUGAUGGUUUGUCUGUUUUACUGUUAUCAUUAUGCAUAAACAUUAGAGGACAUUGUUUGAUUCCAGUAUUGUAUUACACUAGCCAUGGAGAUUAUGUACAUAUGACCUGCCAGGAUGUAUUACUGUUCACCAAAUUGGCUUCAGUUGACUUUUGUGUAGAGGUUCACGCUGUUUGAACUUCAAGCUGCGUGGAAGUCAACAACAAUUGACUGCCUUCUAUUAUAUUCUAAAAGAACUACAGAUUACUCCUAGAAAGUUUCAAGAAAUUUACUGUCUAUAACAGCUUGAAUGGAAAAAUGAGAUAUAGCUUGAAAAUGUGAUGUGCUAAUGUACCAGUGCAGGGGUGUCAUUGUGACAUUCAAGAAACUGAACUUUGACCUUUGUUUACUCUUCCAAUAGCCAACAUGUCACUGCAAAGUUAAGAGUUUUCAAAGUGCACUUUGCAAGUCUUAACCGAUUGUUUUUCUUUCUUUUCGAACAGUUCAUUCAAUGUUUUUUCUACCAUUACACUUAUGCUGUCUGUGAUCGACAGUGUUACCUGCCUUGUUGCUGUGUUGUUUGUGAGCCCUAAACCACCCAUGUGCUGAAUGCUGAUGCAUGGUUUGCACGGAAAUCACUUCACCUCCAACUUGCUAGGUGCAAGUGCAAGCAUUAUUGUUGAAGGUAUGACGUCGCUUUCGAGUUUGUUUGUGCAUUCAAGAUGAAUUCACUUAAAAAUCUUUUUGUAGUACUAUUCCAAUAUUUUCAGGGUCCACAUCAGGGGCAUAGAACGUGUGCAGCAGACAAGACAUAUGCCCCUGCUGGAAUAAACAUUUUUUGAAGUUAGGGUCAAAAGAGUGUCAUUCAGCUCACUUUUCAUAACUUCAUUAACUUCUUCUUUCAUUCAGAUUAAUUCAUAAGGUUGCAAUUGAAUGCUUUAAUUUUAAAUUACAAAUGUUUUUUAUUCAUAAUUUGAUCACUCCAUGACCCAUUAGUUGAGGUGAAAGGAGUUCAGAAGAACUCAUCAGUUUGUUUAAGCAGUGUUUAAACUUUUCAGAAAUGUGUAAAAAGCUGCUAAAAUUGCAGCACAAUUCUAUAUACAUGCGAAAUUUGAGUGUAGAAGGAGAAAGCCCCCUUCUCCCCUUGUCUCUUGUUUGUGUAACAAUUAUCAACUGGGAUGCUCUGGAUUUGAAUAACGAGUCUGUUUUCAUAAUGGUGCAACAUAUUUGUGAAAGUCUGAAAUGCAGGAAGAGGGCAUCUCAAUUGGAAUCUCAAUGGAGCUUUUGUAAUGAAGCCAAUAGCUUUAUAUUUACUCACAGGGCCACUGUAAUGUAGUGGUUUUUGUGUGGUCCACUUAAUGUUGGGUAGUCAUGCCCACGAGUGUAUGUACAGUCAUGAGCAAUAUGAACGGGAACGCUGAAAUUGCGUUCGAGAGGCCAUAGCGUCUAAACACAGGUGUCAAGCUCAAUAGUGUUCAUAGCAGUGAAACAUUUUUAAUCAAAAGGUGCCUCUUGCAAUCAGUAUGCCACAUUCGCAUCACAAAUCAUUACUUAAGCACGAACUUGGUGUUUCCUUUCAUAUUGCUCAUGACUGUACAAGUGAUACGAAUGACUUGCCAUCACUGGUGUGCAAUCUUUGGGCUUGUGUGCAGUUUUUCAGAUGCCGUUCUUGACGUCCAAGUUAUGGUUUCUGACUUCUGUGAUGUGUACAUAUAUUACUAGAUUAUAUGAGAUGUGUACGUGCCUCCCUGUUGUAGUCGACAACAUUCCGUCCGGAUUUAGUAAAUAAAAAUAUGUGCUAUAUGCUUAGCAGUCUA